UACGUAGGGUGCAAGCGUUAUUCGGAAUCACUGGGCUUAAAGCGCGUGUAGGCGGGACGGCACGUCGGUCGCUGAAAGCCCCCGGCUCAACCGGGGAACGGGCGCCGAUACGACCGUCCUGGAGGGACGUAGGGGGACCUGGAACAUCCGGUGGAGCGGUGAAAUGCGUUGAGAUCGGAUGGAACGCCCGUGGCGAAAGCGAGGUCCUGGACGUUUUCUGACGCUGAGACGCGAAAGCCAGGGGAGCGAACGGG
rnacentral:rRNA from 1 species